GAUGAACGCUGGCGGCGUGCCUAAUACAUGCAAGUCGAGCGAACAGAUGAGGAGCUUGCUCCUCUGACGUUAGCGGCGGACGGGUGAGUAACACGUGGAUAACCUACCUAUAAGACUGGGAUAACUUCGGGAAACCGGAGCUAAUACCGGAUAAUAUAUUGAACCGCAUGGAUCAAUAGUGAAAGACGGUUUUGCUGUCACUUAUAGCUGGAUCUACGCCGCAUUAGAUAGUCGGAAAGGUAACGGCUUACCAAGGCAACGAUGCGUAGCCGACCUGAGAGGGUGAUCGGCCACACUGGAACUGAGACACGGUCCAGACUCCUACGGGAGGCAGCAGUAGGGAAUCUUCCGCAAUGGGCGGAAGCCUGACGUAGCAACGCCGCGUGAGUGAUGAAGGUCUUCUGAUCGUAAAACUCUGUUAUUAGUGAAGAACAAAUGUGUAAGUAACUAUGCACGUCUUGACGGUACCUAAUCAGAAAGCCACGGCUAACUACGUG
rnacentral:rRNA from 1 species